rnacentral:lncRNA from 1 species
UGGGAGUUCUAGGGAGGGUUCUCACGGGUUGGGGGUGGUUCCACCGCCGACCCUAACUCAUCUACUUAUAUGAGGAUUCUCGGGCGAUGCCACUACCAAUCUGAGCGAUGCCACCACCUACGGACCGAGCGCCUAGGCGGUGCUACCGUCGGUUCUGGCGGUGCCACCACUAGCGUGCCAAAUUUUUUUUUUCUUUCCCUUCAUUUUUUUUGUUUUUAG